AGUGAACGCUGGCGGUAGGCCUAACACAUGCAAGUCGAACGGCAGCACAGUAAGAGCUUGCUCUUACGGGUGGCGAGUGGCGGACGGGUGAGGAAUACAUCGGAAUCUACUUUUUCGUGGGGGAUAACGUAGGGAAACUUACGCUAAUACCGCAUACGACCUACGGGUGAAAGCAGGGGAGCUUCGGACCUUGCGCGAUUGAAUGAGGCGAUGUCGGAUUAGCUAGUUGGCGGGGUAAAGGCCCACCAAGGCGACGAUCCGUAGCUGGUCUGAGAGGAUGAUCAGCCACACUGGAACUGAGAGACGGUCCAGACUCCUACGGGAGGCAGCAGUGGGGAAUAUUGGAGAAUGGGCGAAAGCCUGAUCCAGCCAUACCGCGUGGGUGAAGAAGGCCUUCGGGUUGUAAAGCCCUUUUGUUGGGAAAGAAAAGCAGCAGGUUAAUACCCCGCUGUUCUGACGGUACCCAAAGAAUAAGCACCGGCUAACUUCGUG
rnacentral:rRNA from 1 species